rnacentral:rRNA from 1 species
AUUGAACGCUGGCGGCCGGCCUAACACAUGCAAGUCGAACGAGUGGCGGACGGGUGAGUAAUGUCUGGGAAACUGCCUGAUGGAGGGGGAUAACUACUGGAAACGGUAGCUAAUAACGCAUACCAUCAGAUGUGCCCAGAUGGGAUUAGCUGUUUGGUGGGGUAACGGCUCACCAAGGCGACGAUCCCUAGCUGGUCUGAGAUGAUGACCAUCCACACUGGAACUGAGACACGGUCCAGACUCCUACGUGAGGCAGCAGUGGAGAAUAUUGCACAAUUGGCGCAAGCCUGAUGCAGCCAUGCCGCGUGUAUGAAUAAGGCUGUCGGGUUGUAAAGUACUUUCAGCGGGGAGGCGUUACCCGCAGAAGAAGCACCGGCUAACUCCGUGCCAGCAGCCGCGGUAAUUC